AUUGAACGCUGGCGGCAGGCCUAACACAUGCAAGUCGGACGGUAGCACAGAGAGCUUGCUCUCGGGUGACGAGUGGCGGACGGGUGAGUAAUGUCUGGGGAUCUGCCCGAUAGAGGGAGAUAACUACUGGAAACGGUAGCUAAUACCGCAUAACGUCGCAAGACCAAAGUGGGGGACCUUCGGGCCUCACACCAUCGGAUGUGCCCAGAUGGGAUUAGCUAGUAGGUGGGGUAAUGGCUCACCUAGGCGACGAUCCCUAGCUGGUCUGAGAGGAUGACCAGCCACACUGGAACUGAGACACGGUCCAGACUCCUACGGGAGGCAGCAGUGGGGAAUAUUGCACAAUGGGCGCAAGCCUGAUGCAGCCAUGCCGCGUGUAUGAAGAAGGCCUUCGGGUUGUAAAGUACUUUCAGCGGGGAGGAAGGCGGUGAAGUUAAUAGCUUCACCGAUUGACGUUACCCGCAGAAGAAGCACCGGCUAACUCCGUGCCAGCCGCCGCAGUAA
rnacentral:rRNA from 1 species